UGGCUCAGUUGGUAGAGGAUGGUGUUUGCAACGCCAGGGUUGUGGGUUUGAUUCCCAC
rnacentral:tRNA from 1 species